ACCAAGUACCAAAGUUCCGCAAGAGGAGCAAGACAGCAACUCCAAUAAGUGUCUGCUCAGGACACAGCUUCAGCCCUUUGUGGUCUGCUGUCUCCCAAGGGCUCCAGGACCUUUGGAAUUCUUGUCACUUCCAUUCAAGGGCCUACAAGGACCUCACGAGGUGUUUGGGAUCCCCCUGAGAUCCACGUGACCAUGACCCGGGAUGACGCCCUCCCUGACUCGCAUUCUGCACAGACUUUCUACGAGAACUAUGAGCCCAAGGAGAUCCUGGGCAGGGGAGUCAGCAGUGUGGUCAGGCGCUGCAUCCACAAACCCACAUGCCAGGAAUACGCAGUGAAAAUCAUUGACAUCACCGGAGGAGGAAGCUUUAGCUCUGAGGAGGUACAGGAGCUUCGGGAAGCCACCCUGAAGGAGGUGGACAUCCUGCAGAAGGUCUCGGGACACCCCAACAUCAUACAGCUGAAGGACACUUACGAGACCAACACUUUCUUCUUCUUGGUAUUUGAUCUGAUGAAGAGAGGGGAACUCUUUGACUAUCUCACUGAGAAGGUCACCUUAACCGAGAAGGAAACCAGAAAGAUCAUGCGGGCCCUGCUGGAGGUGAUCUGUACCCUGCACAAACUCAACAUUGUCCAUCGGGACCUGAAGCCGGAGAAUAUCCUUUUGGAUGACAACAUGAAUAUAAAGCUCACAGACUUCGGGUUUUCCUGCCAGCUGCAGCCAGGAGAGAAGCUCCGAGGUCUGGUACUAUGUAUGGCCUUGGCCCAUAAAGAGGCCUCAAGGGUAGAGAUUGCAUGAUUUUCUCCCCAGAAUAAAAAUUCUAGCAUGUCAGUGGCUAAUGAGAUGGCUCAGUGGAUCAAAUGAGGACACAAGCAUGAGGACCUGAGUUCGAAUCCCCAGAGCCCAUGUAACUCCAGCAAUAGGCUGGCAGCUAGGAGGAUCUCUCGGGGUUGCUGGCUGGUCUGCCUGAAUCAGUCAGCUUCAGGCCAGUGAGAAAUCCUGUCUCAAAAAGCAAGGUGAAAGCGGGGCGUGGUGGCGCACGCCUUUAAUCCCAAGCACUUGGGAGACAGAGGCAGGUGAAUUUCUGAGUUCCAGAGUCAGGUUCCCACCACCUGAGCUCCACGCCCGGGUGCCUAAAAGGACCUAGGAAUCCACAGGUGACCCUCCGAGCCUGUGUAGUCUGCUGUUACUAUUGAGUGUAAAAUAGGAGAGCCCUCCCAAGCACUGUUUUUGUCCUGUCUCUUGGAUCUCUUGGGUAACUUCUUCCAAGGGAGGGCCCCUGGUGUCCUGUCCUGAUAGCAGCCGUUCCCGCAGAGGUUUGUGGGACUCCCAGUUAUCUGGCCCCUGAAAUCAUACAGUGCUCCAUGGACGACGGCCAUCCUGGCUAUGGGAAGGAGGUGGACAUGUGGAGCACAGGCGUCAUCAUGUACACUCUGCUGGCUGGCUCCCCGCCUUUCUGGCACCGGAAGCAAAUGCUGAUGUUGCGGAUGAUCAUGGACGGCAAAUACCAGUUUGGCUCACCAGAGUGGGAUGACUACUCUGACACAGUGAAAGACUUGGUGUCUCGAUUCUUGGUGGUGCAACCUCAGGACCGCUGCUCGGCGGAAGAGGCCUUGGCACACCCUUUCUUUCAGGAGUACGUAGUAGAAGAAGUACGGCACUUCAGCCCCCGAGGGAAGUUCAAGGUGAUCUGUCUAACUGUGCUGGCAUCAGUAAAGAUCUACUACCAGUACCGUCGGGUGAAGCCGGUAACCAGGGAGAUCGUCAUCCGAGACCCCUACGCCCUUCGGCCGCUGCGGAGGCUCAUUGACGCCUAUGCUUUCCGUAUCUACGGCCACUGGGUGAAGAAAGGGCAACAGCAGAACAGAGCCGCCCUCUUCGAGAACACGCCCAAGGCUGUGCUCCUCUCCUUGGCUGAGGAGGAGGACUUCUGAAGGGCAGCGGGGGCCCAGGGGAAAGCAGACAGAGGGACUUGUGAGAAGAGGAUGCCCCAAGUAGCCUUCUGCAAAGGAAUAGGUGGCCCUACUCUGUGCUCUCAAAGGCUUGCCUCUAGAAGCACAGGGUGUUCCCAGUAAACAGCAGUAAUUACAGCUGGAGCUGGAUGUGCUGUGGCAUGUGCCUGUUGCCCCGAGACAGUAGGAUCACGGGUUCUAGCCCAGCCCGGGAAGUCUAGUGAUGCUUAUUUCAAAAUAAAAAUGAGGCUGGGAAUGUAACCCUGUGGUGAGUGUAAGGUCUCCAAAUUCAACCUCUGGUACAGCUAAAAUAGAUAAUAAAUAAAUAAAUAAUAAAUCCAACGCAGCUGAGACCGUGAUAGGCAGAAAUGGAAGGGCAUAGAGCACAUGUAUUCUGGGAGCUAUAAGCCUUCUGGCUUCUCUACUGUGCACCUUUGUUGAUGUCUAUAGUUUUCUUGUUUUUUUUUUUAAGAUUUAUGCAUUUUAUGUAUGUUUUAGCUGCAUGCAUUUUAUGUAACCCACAUGCAUGCAGUACCUGUAGAGGUCACAAGAAGGCAUCAGAAACCCUGAAACUGGAGUUGUAUAGAUAGCUGAGCCCACCUUGUGGGUGGUAGGAAUUGAACCCCUCCUCAGCAAGAACAGGCGCUCAUAACUGUCUAGCUAAAGUUAUGGAUAUUUGAGGAAGUGAAAGCAGGAGUUCAAGGUCAUUUGUGGCUACACAAGGAGCUUGAGGCUAGCCUGGGCUACAUGAAACCCUAUCUCAAACAACAAUUAUAUUGUGCUUCCUGAUAUACAUAAGAAUUUAUUGACCUCGGGCUGGUGUGAUGGCUCAGUGGGUAAGAGUACCCGACUGCUCUUCCAAAGGUCCAGUGUUCAAGUCCCAGCAACCACAUGGUGGCUCACAACCAUCCGUAACGAGAUCUGAUGCCCUCUUCUGGUGUGUCUGAAGACAGCUACAGUGUACUUACAUAUAAUAAAUAAAUAAAUCUUAA